rnacentral:rRNA from 1 species
GAUGAACGCUAGCGGCAGGCCUAAUACAUGCAAGUCGAACGGUGUCUUCGGACGUAGUGGCGCACGGGUGCGUAACACGUAUGCAACCUACCUUACAUUGGGGGAUAGCCUUUCGAAAGGGAGAUUAAUACCGCAUAAGACAGUAGCUGGGCAUCCAGCAGCUGGUAAAGAUUUAUCGAUGUAAGAUGGGCAUGCGUCCAAUUAGUUAGUUGGCGAGGUAACGGCUCACCAAGACUUUGAUUGGUAGGGGAACUGAGAGGUCAAUCCCCCACACUGGCACUGAGAUACGGGCCAGACUCCUACGGGAGGCAGCAGUAGGGAAUAUUGGGCAAUGGACGCAAGUCUGACCCAGCCAUGCCGCGUGCAGGAUGAAGGCGUUAUGCGUUGUAAACUGCUUUUAUACAGGAAGAAACGACUCUUGCGAGAGGCAUUGACGGUACUGUAUGAAUAAGCACCGGCUAACUCCGUGCCAGCAGCCGCCGUAAGAC